rnacentral:lncRNA from 10 species
UUGAAUAAUAUCCUGGGCCAAGCAUGCGUCUCUCCUGAAACAAUCAUAUUCUGCUAUAUCUUUCUGGUUUCUUCCCUUGAUGCUGACUCCUCUUGGAGGCCAAGAAAGAAGCAAACAGGGUUCCCCAAGGUCUCAGAAGAUUAUCUCACACAGAGCUGUUGGAAUUACUUCGUGAUGAUUUCAAAGAAAAUUUUCUUCUCUAAACACUCUUAUCCCAAGACUCUGCGGAAACCCAGCAGCAAUAAGCUUUUAUAG